CCUACGGGGGGCAGCAGUGAGGAAUAUUGGUCAAUGGGCGCGAGCCUGAACCAGCCAAGUAGCGUGAAGGAUGACUGCCCUACGGGUUGUAAACUUCUUUUAUAAAGGAGUAAAUUGAGACACGUCUGCCUUUUUGUAUGUACUUUAUGAAUAAGGAUCGGCUAACUCCGUGCCAGCAGUCGCGGUAAUACGGAGGAUCCGAGCGUUGUACGGAUUUAUUGGGUUUAAAGGGAGCGUAGAUGGGUUGUUAAGUCAGUUGUGAAAGUUUGCGGCUCAACCGUAAAAUUGCAAUUGAUACUGGCAGCCUUGAGUACAGUUGAGGUAGGCGGAAUUCGUGGUGUAGCGGUGAAAUGCUUAGAUAUCACGAAGAACUCCGAUUGCGAAGGCAGCUUACUAAACUGCCACUGACAUUGAUGCGCGAAAGUGUGGGUAGCAAACAGGAUUAGAUACCCUAGUAGUC
rnacentral:rRNA from 1 species